AGCUCUCCUGGAUCAGGCACUUCAAGGGCCAAGCCCAGAACUAUUCAACACUGCUGCUGGAGGAGGCUUCCCAAAGGCUGUUGGUGGGAGCUCGAGGUGCCCUGUUCUCUCUCAGUGCCCGUGACAUAGGAGAUGGGACUCACAAAGAGGUCAGCCCCUGGCAUCUGGGCCAACCACAGGGUCUCCAGCUUCCUGGGACCUCAGUUACCUGGACACCUGCCCCUCAGCCUUCCAACCUCAGGACAGCACUGUCCUUUCUAGCCCAGGGCUCCUUUUGAAAUCCACCACACUUCCCCCGUACUCUGGAGCAACACUGUUUGAUUCUCCGGGUGGUGGAUAUUGAGGUCAACUUAGCAGUCUGUCCCUUUACUCUCACUAGAUCCACUGGGAGGCCUCCCCAGAGAUGCAAAGCAAGUGUCAUCAGAAAGGGAAAAACAACCAGGUAUGUGAUCUCCCUGUCCCCAGUUCUCCUUUCUUCCUCCUCAACCAGGGGUGCCAGAAUUAGAGGGACACAGGUAGAGCGGGACAGAUGUGCAUCCAAGUGUACAACCACAAUGAGUGGUGUGAGCGGCUGGCCUAGGGUAACCCUUCUACCCCAAAUAUCCAUGGUCUACAGCUUAGCCUGUACAGUAACUUAAUCCUCUUCCCAGGGCAUCUCAAAUUAUAAUCGUAACCGUAAGUAACUGCUGUAAGUGACAACUAGAUCUGGUUGUAAAAUAAUCUGAUAAAACAUUGUUGUACG
rnacentral:lncRNA from 1 species